GAUGAAUGACAUGAGUUUUUUGGCAGAUAGAGUAGUUACCUUACUCAAAGGUUUUUGCCGUUCACAAAUUCAACUCAAACAAAUUCAAUCACAAAUCAUACUUCACAAUCUUCAAUCAAAUACAACAAUCGCACUACACUUAAUCAAUGCAUCUCAAUCUCACAAUCUUCUCAAUUCUCUUUUACCUCUCUUCACAAUCCUCACUCCAAAACCCCAUGUUUUCAUCUUCAAUACUCUCAUCAGAGCUUUCUCCCAUUCCCAUAUCCCUCACACCCCUCUCUUUCUAUACACCCAUAUGCAAAAAAACUCAAUCUUUCCAAACAACUUCACAUUCCCUUUUCUUUUCAAGUCACUUUCCGACUCAAAUAACUUCAUUCAAUCCCAAUGUGUUUACACCCAUGUCAUUAAACUCGGUCAUUUGAAUGAUCUUUAUGUUAAUAACUCUCUUCUUGAUGUAUACGCUUCGUGUGGUUAUGUUUCACUUUGUCGACAACUGUUCGAUGAAAUGUCUCACAGAGAUGUUGUGUCUUGGACUGUGCUGAUUAUGGGUUAUCGUUUUUGUGGGAAGUAUGAUGAUGCAUUGCUUGUGUUUGAACAGAUGCAGUAUGCGGGUGUUGUUCCGAAUCAGGUCACGAUGGUUAAUGCUUUGGCUGCUUGUGCUAGCUCUGGUGCUAUUGAAAUGGGGAUUUGGAUUGAUGAUAUGAUACGGAGGAAUGGGUUGGAAUUGGAUGUGAUUUUGGGGACGGUGUUGAUUGAUAUGUAUGUGAAGUGUGGGAGAGUGGAAGAGGGGUUGAGGGUUUUCGGUAAUAUGAAGGAAAGAAAUGUGUUUACUUGGAAUACUGUUAUUAGAGGGCUUGCUUUGGCUAAGAGUGGUGAUGAGGCUAUUUUGUGGUUUAAUAGGAUGGAGCUGGAUGGAGUUAGAGCUGAUGAAGUGACUUUGGUUGCGGUACUUUCUGCGUGCAGUCAUUCGGGUUUGGUGGAUAAGGGUCGAUUGAUUUUUAAUAUGUUGGUUGAUGGAAAGUAUGGAUUUUGUCCUAAUGUCAAACACUAUGCUUGUAUGGUUGAUAUCUUGGCACGUGGUGGUCGAUUACGAGAGGCUUUUGAGAUCAUGAGAUGUAUGCCUUUUGAGCCAACGAAAGCCAUGUGGGGAUCAUUGUUGGCUUGUUCCAAAUCUCAAGGUGACUUGGAGUUCAGUGAGUUUGCAGCUAGAAAACUGGUUGAAUUGGAGCCAGGUAACGCUGCCUAUUAUGUCCAGUUGUCGAAUCUGUAUGCAGAGGCAGGAAAAUGGGGCGAUUUUGAGAGAGUUAGGGGAAUGAUGAAAGAGAGGGAACUGACUAAAGACUUGGGGUGUAGUUCCGUGGAGGUUGAACGCCAAAGAUCUGCUAGUGAGCUCUUGGCAUAGCACCCACUCUCCCAAGUUAGCUGUUACCUGACUUGACUUAAUUCAACUCUGGUCAUUGCGGGGAAAACAUAUGAGGCCUUCAUGGUACAUGAUAUAGAAUUUAACAGCUGAUCAGAUGACUAAAAAAAACAGUUGAGAUGAUAAUCGUCACACUGCAAUACCUGAGGGAUCCAAAUUAACUAGCUACAAGCACUUUCUGCUGUGUGUUUUGAUCAGAUGACAACCAUUGUGGCUUGACUUGUGGAUCAUUUAGGGACCUUAUGUGUUGAUUUGGAAAGGGGAUAUGAAUGGAUUAUAUAGUGUGAAGUCAGGUUACAAUAUGGUGAUGAAUAUGAAGCAAGGGACAGAUGAUAACAAUGGAGGUCGUGACUGGUUUUGUGUGUGGAAUGCGCAUGUUCCGCCGAAGGUUCGUAGUCUUAUUUGGAGGAUUGCUUGUAAUUGUUUACCAACCCGUCUCCGUUUAAACGAGAGGCAUGUCCCUUGUCCUAUAAACUGUGAAAUUUGUAAUGAUUCGGUGGAGAGUGAUUGGCAUCUUCUUUUUCAGUGUGAUACGAGUAUUCAGAGCUGGCAAACAGAAGGAUUAUGGCCUCAAAUUCGGGACAGAGUGCAAAGAAUGAAUUCAGUAGCAGAAGUGGUGCUAGAUAUAUGUUCGCGAGAAGUCGAGGCUGUGGCGAACCGAUUUAUGAUAAUUGUGUGGGGACUGUGGCAUAACAGGAAUGAAUGGAUAUGGAAUCAAAAGCAAAUGAAUCCGGACCAGAUUAAUCAUUGGGCACAAGCACGGUGGGUUAAGCCAAUUACCGGAGAAUUAAAAUGUAAUGUUGAUGCGGCUUUUCAUCAUUCAAUCGACAAGACUAGCUAUGGAUGUUGUUUAAGAGAUUCAAAUGGUGAUUUCAUUCGAGCUUUGUCAGGUUGGUGCAAUCCAGAGUUAUCAGUAUGUGAGGGGGUGGCACUAGGAAUGUGGCAAGUCAUGUCAUGGGUUCAGAAUUUGGGUUGGAGUAAAGUGAUAUUUGAAAGUGAUUCCAAGACCUCUUAGUUGAUGCAGUUAACUCCAAAUCUGUAGGCGGUUCAGAAUUUCAUGUUUUAGUCUCUAUAUUAGAACUUUGCUUAGUUUAAAUAAUAACUUUGAGGUUAAGUUUAUUAGCCGGCAAGCGAAUAUGGUUGUUGCCCAUAGUUUAGCAAAAGUGGCUAUUUCUAAUGCUAGUUGGCAAUCGUUUGAUUUUAUUCCUCUUUGUAUUCAUCGUUAUUUAAUUAAUGAUCUGAGUGGAG